rnacentral:lncRNA from 1 species
CUCUUCUUUUGAAACUUCAUUCGGUAUAAUUUCAUUUCCUUCAUUUGUUUUCUCACAUUGAUUUUCUUCACCCACUGUCUCAUCUCUUGCUUUGACAAGUUUCUCUUUGAUUGCAGCAUCUUCUGUUUCAGUGAGUAAUUCAAUGUCAAAAGCCCUUUCAUGUGUCUCCUUGUUGAAAUUCUGGGCCUCCUCAAUCUCUCUUGUUUGUUCUGGAAUCGUCUCUGGACUCUCAUCUUCUUGCAAUUCUGUUUCCUUGGUUUCAUCUCCUUGGACCUCAGAAGGCAAUUUAGAGGUUGUAAUAUGAAGGUGAUCUUCUGGCUUCUCUCCUGGGAGAGUAUGAGCAGCAGUUGCUCUAUCUUCUAAGGCACCUUGAAGCUCUCCUGCAUAUUCUGAUUGUGGGGUUUUGUCAUCUUCCAGUAUUUCUGCUUCUUUUAUUCUCUUUUCUUCUCUUACAGUUCCAUGCUCCCGUGAUUCCUCUGCUAUAACCUGACUAGGAUUAGUUUCACCUUCCAACACAUCUCGGGGCUCCUUUAAUUCAUUUUUUUCUGAGCAUAUCUCUUGUACUGUCUUUCCUACAUCAGAGUCUCCAUUUCGCAUCUCUUCUUCCUUUAAUUUCUCCUCUUCAGUCUUGUCAACUCCAUUGAUGGUUUCAUGCUUAUGCUCCUCUGAUGGCAAUAUAACAACAGGAUUUGGAAUUUGCUCCUCUGGUUUCUCUGUUGGGAUAAUCUGAGCAGAAGUGUUGUCAACUACUGCAAGAGCUUCAUCCUCCUGAAGCUGUUCCUUUUGCAAGGAUGCAUUUUCUCCAUUAGCAUCUUGUAAGAAUUCUGCUUCCUCUGUUUUGUCACUUUCUAUCUUCUCAGCUGUACUUGUACUUCCACAUUUCUCUUCCGUUGAAGGCAGUGGAGAGGAUGGAUUCUGAACUUGUUCUUCUGAUUUCUUUUCAGGGAGAGUGUGACCAGCAGUCAGUUCAUCUUCUACAACAGCUCCUGACUUAACGGACCUUUCCUUUUGUGAGCAUAUCUCUACUGUUGUCCUUGCAUCUGAAGCUUCUUCUUCAAUCUUGUCUUUUAUGAUUUCCCCUUUGUUUGUUUUCUCAUCUUCUGUCUUCUUAGUUUCAUGCUCUAGUUCUUCACUAGUUGUAGCAGAGGUUGAAAUAUGAAGUGGCUCUUCUGAGAAAGUCUGACCUGAUGUAAUUUCUUCUUUUGGAACUGCAGGAGGCUCAUUUGGCUCUUCUUUUUGCAAGCAUAUCUCUUCUGUUUCUCUAGCUGACGAAUCUUCACAAUUCUCAUCUUCAAGCUUUUCUGCUUCUUUCCUUUUCUCUUCUUCUUGCUUCUCAACAGUGCCUAUUGCUUCAAUCUCCAAUGAUUCCUCUAUUAUUGAAGCCUGAGCAACAAUAGUUUCUUGAUCCACAACAGCUUCAGGCUCCUGAAGUCCUCCCUUUUCUAAGCAUGUUUCUUUUCCUAGCAAUACCACUUCCUUCACUUUUUCUUCUUCUUCUUCCUCGUUGGCAGUAGUUCCAUGCUCUAUGUUCUCAGCAGGCAAUGCUGAAGUCAAAGAUAGCUCAUUUGGUUCCUCCACUUGGAGAGCUUGAGCAGUAGCUAUUUCGUCUUUCUUAGCAUCUUCAAGCUCCUGAAACUCUUCUUUUUCCAAGCAUAUUUUUGCUGUUUUCUUUGCAUCCGAAGAAUCUUCUGAAAUCUUAUCUUGAAUGUCUGCUUCAUUUGUUUUCUCUUCUUCCGUCUUCUCAACAGUGCUUAUGUUUUCCUCCUCCUUCUCCUUGGAAACCAAUGGAGAGCUUGUGGUCCCUUGCUCUGGUUUAUUAGCUGGAAGAGUCUGCUCACCAGUUAUUUCAUGUCCUGGAACAACAUCUUGCUCUGUGAGUACUUCUUCCUUUUUUUUGCCAUAUUCUAUCUCCUCACUUAUGGCUCCAGUUCCAUGCUCCCUUUCCUCAGAAGGCAAUGUAGAAGAUGUAGUUUGAAUUUGCUCCUCUGGUUCAUCAUUUUGGAGACCCUGGUCAGCAAUAGUUUCUUCUUUUGAGACCGCCUUAGCCUCUUUUUUUUCUUCAUUUGGCGAGCAUACCUCUUCUAUUGUCUUUGUGUCAGAAGAAUCUUCUAGACUCCCAUGUUUUAUUUCAGCAUCCUUCUGUAUCUCUUCUUCAAUCUUCUCAAUUGGGUGUGCAGUUCUGACCUCUUCAUCCUCAGAAGGCAAUCUGUCAGCAGAAGUUUGGAGUUGCUCCUCCAGUUUCUCUUCUGGAAGAGUUUUAGGGGAACUAGUAUUAUCUUUCACUAUGGUUUCUUCUUUCUUAGCAUCUUCAGCAAUUGUUUCUUGCUCCACAACAGCUUUUAGCUCCUUGUUUUCUUCCUUUUCCAAGCAUAUCUCACCUCCUUUCUUUGUAUCAGAAGAAUCUUUAUCUAGAGUUUCCACUUCCUUCAGUUCCUUUUCUUCUACUACGUCAACUUGAGUUGUAACUCCAUGCUCUCCUUCCGCUGAAGGCAAUUUGGAUGAUGGAGCUGGAGAUUGCUCCUCUGGUUUCUCCUCCAAUCGAAGAAUUUGAGAAGCAUUAGUUUCAUCUUUUGCUUCUCUCUCCUUAAUCUUGUCUUGAGUCACUUGCAAAGUUUCCUUUAUGGAGCUUUCAACAUGGUCAGAUGAUGAUACCUUAGUUGAAUCUUCCACUGAUGUAGACUGCUUGGUUAUUUCUUCACCUGAGUUAUCUGUUGUUUUUUCUCUGCCAUGUUCAACUACUUCUGGAUAAAUCUCUUUGACAUCUCCAACUUCAGCCUUCUGUGAGGAUUCUGCAACUCUGUCCUGUAAAUCUACUGGAACAUGUUCCUUGGCAAUUGAACUUGUUAUCUCUGUGUUCUCAAUGGGAUCUAAUUCCCUUGGAAUCUGCUGAUCAGAUGCUAUAUUAGUUGUUUCCUCUGGCUGCUGAAUAUCAUCAAUUAUUUGAUUGCCUUCUGCCACUGAUAAUUCUGUGCUUGAUCCCUGAUAAAAGAUGAAACAAAGAGUUGCUUAGUAUGAUUAAUUUCUAUCACUUAUUUUCUUACUUUAUGACGUUUAGGCUUCAUUUGUGGCUCCUAGAAUGAUUGAGGAACUUGAUUAAUAGAAUUUAAAAUAAUAACAGAAAAAAAAGAAUAAUUCUAGCUUCAAGAAUUUUGCUUGCCUUUUCUCCUAUAUAAGAUCUAAGUUAUUCUACUGCAGUCUUUUUCUCUCAUAAUAUUUUGAUUUCAUAAGGUUAUUCAAUGAGCUAAUCAUGUUUUAUACUAAAACCUGGAAUCUCUUUCAUCAUUUGAACAGAUUCAUGAAAUCAACAAGACUGUUGCUAUUACUAUUAUAGUUACAUUUGCAUAAAAUAUUAUUCAAUGCAAAGUUUGAAAGGAGGAUUAAAUGUAGUCUGACCUGUUCUGUUACUGUUGUGGUUUCAAUCCUGGCAACUGAACCUUGGCCUGGAUCCUCAACAGUUUUAUCUUCUAUCUGCUUUUCAAUGAUCUUAUUUUCACUGGUCUUUUGAGCUUCCACGAUGAACUGUUAUAGAUUAAAGCUUCAAUAUAGAUAUAGGAAAGCAAGAAACGAUUAAGAUGAACAAAGUUUAGUUUCUGUUUCCUGACCUCUUCAGAUGUCUUGUCUUCGAUCAGCUUCUCCCUUUGCUCAUCUUCUCCAGAGCCAUCUUUUGUCAUCUCUUCCGAAUGGGAAGUUGAAUAUGAUGUUUCAGUAACUUCCUUGUCCUCCAUGACCUGUCAUUUUUGCUUCUCAUUUAAUACUUAAUAGUUAUUGUGAUAAUAAAUUUUAAAAGCAAGACAAUAAUAGAAACGAGAAUGAAUGGGAAAUACAUGAAAUUAUUAAGGUGUUGAGCUAGUAUUGCUUACCUCUUCCUUUGAAACUUCAUUCGGUAUGAUUUCAUUUCCUUCAUUUGUUUUCUCGCACUGAUUUUCUUCACCCACUGUCUCAUCUCUUGCUCUGACAGGUUUCUCUUUGAUUGCAGCAUCUUCUGUUUCAUUGAGCAAUUCAUUGUCAAAAGCCCUUUCAUGUGUCUCCGUGUUGAAAUUCUGGGCUUCCUCAGUCUCUCUUGUUUGUUCUGGAAUCUUCUCUGGACUCUCAUCUUCUUGCAAUUCUGUUUCCUUCGAUUCAUCUCCUUGGACCUCAGAAGGCAAUGUAGAGGUUGUAAUAUGAAGGUGAUCCUCUGGCUUCUCAACUGGCAGAGUAAAAGCAGCAGUUGCUCCAUCUUCUAAGGCACCUUGAAGCUCUCUUGUGCAUUCUGAUUGUUGGGUUUUGUCAUCUUCCUUUGUUUCUGCUUCUUUUAUUUUCUCUUCUUCUCUUACAGUUCCAUGCUCCUGUGAUUCCUCUGCUACAACCUGACUAGGAUUAGUUUCACCUUCCAACAUAUCUCGGGGCUCCUUUGAUUCAAUUUUUUCUGAGCUUAUCUCUUGUACUGCCGUUACUCCAUCAGAGUCUCCAUUUUGCAUCUCUUCUUCCUUUACUUUCUCCUCUUCAGUCGAUGGCAAUGUGACAACAGGAUUUGAAAUUUGCUCCUCUGGUUUCUCUGUUGGGAUGGUCUGAGCAGAAGCAUUGUCUACUACUGCAAGAGUUUCAUCCUCCUGAAGCCGUUCCUUUUGCAAGGAUGCAUCUUCUCCAUUAUCUGUAAGAAUUCUGCUUCCUCUGUUUGGUCACUUUUUAUCUUCUCAGCUGUACUUGUACUUCCACAUUCCUCUUCCUUUGAAGGCAGUGCAGAGGUUGGAUUCUGAGCCUGUUCUGAUGAUUUCUUUUCAGUGAGAGUGUGACCAACAGUCAGUUCAUCUUCUGCAACAGCUUCUAGCUCAACGGACCUUUCCUUUUGUGAGCAUAUCUCUACUGUUGUCGUUUCAUCUGAAGCUUCUUCAAUCUUGUCUUUUAUGAUUUCCCCUUCGUUUGUUUUCUCAUCUUCUGUCUUCUUAGUUUCAUGCUUUCGUUCUUCACUAGUUAUAGCAGAGGUUGAAAUAUGAAGUUGCUCUCCUGAGAAAGUCUGAUCAGAUGUGAUUUCUUCUUUUGGAACUGCAUGAGGCUCAUUUGGCUCUUCUUUUUGCAAGCAUAUCUCUUCUGUUUCUCUACCUGACGAAUCUUCACAAUUCUCAUUUUCAAGCUUUUCUGCUUCUUUCCUUUUCUCUUCUUCUAGCUUCUUAACAGUGCCUAUUGUUUCAAUCUCCAGUGAUUCCUCUGUUAUUGAAGCCUGAGCAGUUUCCUGAUCCACAACAGCUUCAGGCUCCUGAGGUCCUUCCUUUUCUAAGCAUGUUUCUUUUUCUAGCAAUACAACUUCUUUCACUUUUUUCUUCUUCCUCAUUGGCUGUAGUUCCAUGCUCUAUGUUCUCAUCUGGCAUUGCUGAAGUCAAAGAUUGCUCAUUUGGUUCCUCCACUUGGAGAGCUUGAGCUGUAGCUAUUUCAUCUUUCUUAGCAUCUUCAUGCUCCCGAACCUCUUCUUUUUCCAAGCACAUCUUUGAUGUUUUCUUUGCAUCAGAAGAAUCUUCUGAAAUCUUAUCUGGAAUGUCUGCUUCAUCUAUUUUCUCUUCUUCUGUCUUCUCAACCGUGCUUAUGUUUUCUUCCUCCUUUUCCUUGGAAACCAUUGGAGAGCUUGUAGUCCCCUCGUCCGGUUUAUUAGCUGAAAGAGUCUGCUUCCCAGGUAUUUCAUCUCCUCGAACAACAUCUAGCUUUGUGGGUACUUCUUCCUUUGUUUUGCCAUAUUCUAUCUCCUCACUUAUGGCUCCAGUUCCCUGCUCCCUUUCCUCAGAAGGCAAUGUAGAAGAUGUAGUUUGAAUUUGCUCCUCUGGUUCAUCGUUCUGAAGACCCUGGUCAAGCAAUAGUUUCUCCUUCUGAGACUGCUUUAGCCUCUCUUUGUUCUUCAUUUGGCACGCAUACCUCUUCAAUUGUCUUUGUGUCAGAAGAAUCCUCUAGACUCUCAUGUUUUAUUUCAGCAUCCUUCUGUAUCUCUUCUUCAAUCUUCUCAAUUGGGUGUGCAGUUCUGACCUCUUCAUCCUCAGAAGGCAAUGUGUCGGCAGAAGUUUGAAGUUGCUCCUCCAGCUUCUCUUCCGGAAGAGUUUUAGGGGAACCAAUAUUAUCUUUCACUAUAGUUUCUUCUUUCUUAGCAUCUUCAGCAAUUGUUUCUUGCCCCCCAACAGCUUUUAGCUCCUUGUUUUCUUCCUUUUCCAAGCAUGUCUCACCUCCUUUCUUUGUAUUAGAAGAAUCUUUAUCUAGAGUUUCCACUUCCUUCAGUUCCUUUUCUUCUGCUAAAUCGACUUGAGUUGUAACUCCAUGCUCUCCUUCUGUGGAAGGCACUUUGGAUGAUGGAGCUGGAGAUUGCUCCUUUGGUUUCUCCUCCACUAGAAGAAUUUGAGAAGCAUUAGUUUCAUCUUUUGCUUCUCUGUCCUCUAGAAUCUCUUGAGUCACUGGCAAAGCUCCCUUUGUGGAGCUUUCAACGUGGUCAGAUGAUGAUAUCUUAGUCAAAUCUUCCACUGAUGUAGACUCCUCGGUUAUAUCUUCACCUGAAUUAUCUGCUGUUUUUUCUCCAUCAUCUUCAACUUCUUCUGGAUAAAUCUCUUUGACAUCUCCAACUUCAGCCUUCUGUGAGGAUUCUGCAACUCUGUCCUGCAAAUCUAUUGGAACAUGGUCCUUGGCAAUUGAACUUGUUAUCUCUGUGUUCCCAGUGGGAUCUAGUUCCCUUGGAAUCUGCUCAUCAGAUGCUAUAUUAGUUGUUUCCUCUAGCUGCUGAAUAUCAUCAAAUAUUGGAUUGCCUUCUGCAGCUGAUAAUUCUAUGCUUGAUACCUGAUAAAAGAUGAAACAUAGAGGUGCUCAGUAUGAUUAAUUUCUAUCAAUUAUUUUCCUUACUUUAUGAUGUUUAGACUUCAUUUGUGGCUCCUAGAAUGAUUGAGAGACCUGACAAAUAGAAAUUUAAAAUAAUAACCAAAAAACAAAAGGAAUAAUCCUGGCUUCAAGAAAUUUGCUUGCCUGUUCUCCUAUAUAAGAUCUAAGUUAUUCUACUGCUCUCUCUUUAUCUCACAUAUUAUAUUUUGAUUUCUUAAGGUCCUUCAAAGAGCUAACCAUGUUUUAUUCUAAAACCUCGAAUCUCUUUCGUCAUUUGACAGAUUAAUGAAAUCAACAAGACUUGCAGUUCCUGUUACAGUUACAUUUGCAUGAAAUAUUAUGCAAUGCAAAGUUUGAAAGGAGGAUUCAAUGUAGUCUGACCUGUUGUGUCACUGUUGUGGUUUCAAUCCCCGCAACCGAGGCUUGGCCUGGAUCGUCAACAGUUUUAUCUUUGAUCUUCGUUUCAAUUAUCUCAUCUUCACUGGCCUUUUGAGCUUCCGCUUUUUGCUGUUAUAAAUUAAAGCUUCAAUGUAGAUAUAGAAAAUCAAGAAACGAAUAAGAUGAACAAAAUUUAGUUUCUUUUUCCUGACCUCUUCAUAUGUCUCGUCUUCAAUCAGUUUAUCCUUUAGCUCAUCUUUUCCAGAGCCAUCUUUCGUCAGCUCUUCUGAAUGGGACGUUGAAUAAGAUGUUUCAGUAACUUCCUUGUCUUCCAUGACCUGUCAUUUUGCCCACUUAGUUAAUAAAAUUUUACAAGCAAGAGAAUAAUAGAAACGAGAAUGAAUAGGAAAUACACGAAAUUAUUAAGGUUUGGAGCUAGUGUUGCUUACCUCUUCUUUUACAACUUCAUUCUGUAAGAUGUCAUUUCCUUCAUUUGUUUUCUCACACUGAUUUUCUUCACCCCCUAUCUCAUCUGUUGCUUUGACAAUUUUCUCGUUAAUUGCAGCGUCUUCUAUUUCAGCGAGUAAUUCAUUGUCAAAAGCCCUUUCAUGUGUCUCUCCGUUGAAAUUUGGGGCUUCCUCAAUCUCUCUUGUUUGUUCUGGAAUCUUCUCUGGACUCUCAGCUUCUUGCAAUUCUGUUUCCUUGGUUUCAUCUCCUUGGACCUCAGAAGGCAAUGUAGAGGUUGUAAUAUGAAGGUGAUCUUCUGGCUUCUCACCUGGCAGAGUAAAAGCAGCAGUUGCUCCAUCUUCUAAGGCACCUUGAAGCUCUCUUGUGCAUUCUGAUUGUUGGGUUUUG